AUUAAACGCUGGCGGCAUGCCUUACACAUGCAAGUCGAACGGCAGCACGGGGGCAACCCUGGUGGCGAGUGGCGGACGGGUGAGUAAUGCAUCGGAACGUGCCAUUGAGUGGGGGAUAACGUAGCGAAAGUUGCGCUAAUACCGCAUAUUCUGUGAGCAGGAAAGCAGGGGACCGCAAGGCCUUGCGCUCUUUGAGCGGCCGAUGUCAGAUUAGCUAGUUGGUGAGGUAAAGGCUUACCAAGGCGACGAUCUGUAGCGGGUCUGAGAGGAUGAUCCGCCACACUGGAACUGAGACACGGUCCAGACUCCUACGGGAGGCAGCAGUGGGGAAUUUUGGACAAUGGGGGCAACCCUGAUCCAGCCAUGCCGCGUGAGUGAAGAAGGCCUCGG
rnacentral:rRNA from 1 species